UCGGGAAUAUUGCACAAUGGGCGAAAGCCUGAUGCAGCAACGCCGUGUGAGCGACGAAGGUCUUCGGAUCGUAAAGCUCUGUUGUUGGGGCCGAAGGGCGAAGGGUUAAUAGCCCCUAGCCUGACGGUACCCUUCGAGGAAGCCCCGGCUAACUACGUGCCAGCAGCCGCGGUAAUACGUAGGGGGCGAGCGUUGUCCGGAAUUAUUGGGCGUAAAGAGCGUGUAGGCAGUUUGGUAAGUCUGCCGUGAAAACUCGGGGCUCAACCCCGAGCGUGCGGUGGAUACGGCCAGGCUAGAGGAUGGUAGAGGCGAGUGGAAUUCCCGGUGUAGCGGUGAAAUGCGCAGAUAUCGGGAGGAACACCAGUAGCGAAGGCGGCUCGCUGGGCCAAUCCUGACGCUGAGACGCGAAAGCUAGGGGAGCAAACAGGAUUAGAUACCCCCGUAGUCC
rnacentral:rRNA from 1 species